rnacentral:lncRNA from 1 species
UGUUAUCGGAAGUAUAGAUGAUUUGAUGUUUCUGACUUUUGAACCCUUGAAUCAAGAAUUGUACGAUUGGAAUAAUUGCGAUCCUUCCUAAGAUUGAGUAGUACUCCUAGGGUUAAGUGGUUCCUACUGGGUAAUAAUAUUAAUUCAAAGGUUAAAAAUGAUCAAAAAGAUUGAUAUAAGGGCAAAAAUGUCGGAAACAUCAGAAACUUUAUGCUCAUGAUAACAUAGUAGCUCUACUCUCUCUUUAUAUAUAUACUAGUUAUAGUGCACGUGCAAUGCACGUAACAUUUAAUUAAAUUAAAUUUAUAUUUAAUUUUAAAUUUAAAUAAUUAUUAAUGGUAUAAAUCUAUUUAUUAUUUAAUUUUUUUCUAAAAUUAAUUUUUUUAAUAUGUAUCCAAAUUUUAAAAAUUUAAAGUAAUUCUAAAUUUUAAAUUAAUAAAUUCAUAUUUAAAUUUAU